rnacentral:rRNA from 1 species
AGCGAACGCUGGCGGCGUGCUUAACACAUGCAAGUCGAACGCUCGUAGCAAUACGAGAGUGGCGGACGGGUGAGUAACGCGUGGGAAUCUAUCUUACGGCGGGGAAUAACCUCGGGAAACUGAGGCUAAUACCGCAUACGCCCUUCGGGGGGAAGGCUUCGGCCACCGUUUGAGGAGCCCGGGUCCGAUUAGCUAGUUGGUGAGGUAACGGCUCACCAAGGCGACGAUCGGUAGCUGGUCUGAGAGGAUGAUCAGCCACACUGGGACUGAGACACGGCCCAGACUCCUACGGGAGGCAGCAGUGGGGAAUAUUGGACAAUGGGGGAAACCCUGAUCCAGCGACGCCGCGUGGGUGAUGAAGGCCUUCGGGUUGUAAAGCCCUUUCGUCCACGAUGAUGAUGACAGUAGUGGAAGAAGAAGCUCCGGCUAACUUCGUGCCAGCCGCCGCCGUAAAAC